AAAAGUUCUCCAAGUCCCCACCUGACCCAGAAGCCCAGUUGGCUUCACCUCUCACUGCUACUUUCUGUCAACCAGAGUCAAAUAAUUUUUUCCAACCAACCAGGCAACUCACAAAAUCAGUGGGUCCCCGGGGUAUAAUUUUCAGGCAUCAGGCUUCCAGAGGUCAGAAUUCUGGCCACCCAUGAUAUUCUUCCUCCAGUGAGGAGCCCUCCAGACCUGCUCCAUAGCGACGGCAGGACCUGCCUCCCAGCAGAGCAGAGAUGAGCUAGUCAGGAGCAGGAGAAAUGAUCUUCAGACUCUGGGGCCCAGCAUUCCCCAGGUUUCCUGCAGGUCUCAAAAUCUAUCUUGAACAAACUUGCUUACAUCAUUUAUUUUUAAAUAAAAAAGAACCACUAUUGGGAGAAGGUAGUGCUUGAUUUUUUCUUCUUGGCAGAGUUCAUUCCAUAGCCUG
ensembl:lncRNA novel transcript